rnacentral:rRNA from 1 species
GGUACGAUCGGUGACAGGUGGUGCAUGGUUGUCGUCAGCUCGUGUCGUGAGAUGUUGGGUUAAGUCCCGCAACGAGCGCAACCCCUAUUGUUAGUUGCCAUCAUUCAGUUGGGCACUCUAGCGAGACUGCCGGUAAUAAACCGGAGGAAGGUGGGGAUGACGUCAAAUCAUCAUGCCCCUUAUGACCUGGGCUACACACGUGCUACAAUGGUUGGUACAACGAGUUGCGAGUCGGUGACGGCGAGCUAAUCUCUUAAAGCCAAUCUCAGUUCGGAUUGUAGGCUGCAACUCGCCUACAUGAAGUCGGAAUCGCUAGUAAUCGCGGAUCAGCACGCCGCGGUGAAUACGUUCCCGGGCCUU